GGCUGGCCAAAGUACAGUGGUGUUUACAACUAAUUGAUCAUGACCAGUUAUAGAUUUCUUCGUUUCUUCUCCACUCCCUUUGUCUUACUUGACUGGCCUUAA
rnacentral:Y_RNA from 1 species